GUGCUCGCUUCGGCAGCACAUAUACUAAAAUUGGAACGAUACAGAGAAGAUUAGCAUGGCCCCUGCGCAAUGACAUGCUUUCUUUUAAUUUUUAAAUUGUUAUU